UUAAGGGAUUAAAAAUAAAAUGUUUAAAUUGGGAGAACCCGAAACUCCAUGUUCUUCCGGCGAGAGUAUACGGUGAGAGAGAAUCGAAGAAAUAUGAAUCUGGCGAACCCAAUCGAAUCUGAAGCGGAAGUGAAACAUAAUUUGAAAUCAAGGAAUCAGAGGUGAAUCAUUAGUGAAAAAUUUGCGUUGGCGACAUCAGAGGCGAACGACGAGCUCUGGUUCAGAUCUCGUCGAAGAUCUUCGAGCUCUGGUUCAGAAAGAUGAUCAAGCCAAAGCUUCGUUUUCAUCUGGUUUUGAGAUCAUGCUUCUUCAAGUGUUUUAAGGAUGAUGAUAGUUUUGUGUACUGAUUAGUAGAAUGGGAUCCAAUUUGGCUCGAUUUCUAUGAUUCUAAGGCUGCCAAGGUUGUUUAGAUUUUUCAUUUCAUAGUUCCCCAUAGAAAUGAUAGUUCUGCUGUAAGAUUCUCCGAGAAUUUGAUGUUGAAAGUAACGUUGCUUGAUCACAGUCACAUUACAAUUUUUUUUUUUUCAUCUAGGUUUGCUUUAAUCACUAGUUGUGGUUGAAUCUGGUCACAUUGGUAGAUGGGUUGCAGAAGUCUACUAGAUAAUUUAUAUUUUUGGUUUCUUCCUUACUGUUGGUAAGAGGAUCCUCGAAGGUGAACUUCUAGUUUAAAGAGUUAUGGGCACAUGAAUAUUCUAAACUCUACCAUGGAAAAUUAUUGUUGAAUGCUUCAUUCUUCGGUACCUUAUUUCAUCAUGAGUGUCUCACAUUUGCAGGUUUUUGACAUGAACGUAAAAGUAGUUACACCAGGAGAUGUGGGCGCUAGUGCAAGGGAUGGGACAAGUCUAGAAGAUGGGAUCCAAGCCAUAAGAAGGAAUCCAAGCUGGAUUUAUUUGGUUUUGAUUCUCUUGUGAAGGACAUAAUCUUGGUUUGAAGAGGUUCAUCUUAUGAUGUGAUGCUUGUUAACGAAAUUGAAACCUGUAAGUUAAGAUAGAUGGUCAGCAGUAACUAUUGCAUCAAGAAAAUGUAUGAUGUGUAGUGAUAAUGGUGAAAUUCAGGAAGGAUUACAAGAAAUUCAGGAAGGGUUCUUUAAAUUCAUGAUGAGCUUCAUAACAAGUUUAGAUUUCAUGAUGACUUUAAUAAAAAAUCUGGAUAUUGCUAAAGACCAUGAUAGCAUAAAAAUGAAACCAUUACCCUGUACUAAUGAAACUUUUUUUUUGUAUUUUACAAUUAUUUUUAGUAAUGCUGAGAUUUUAUGUUGAA